GGUGCCUUUGCCUAUCAAAAUCUGCUGUAGCCUGAAAAACAGACAUCUUGAUUUGGAUGAAGAAGUUGUAUUGCUUGCCAUAAAGAAUUGUAGAGUUGGAAGAGACCUCAUGGGCCAUUCAGUCCAACCCCCUGCAAGAAGCAGGAAAAUCUCAUUCAAAGCACUCCUGACAGAUGGCCAUCCAGCCUCUGCUUAAAAGCCUCCAAAGAAGGAGCCUCCACCACACUCCGGGGCAGAGAGUUCCACUGCUAAGCAGCUCUCACAGUGAGGAAGUACUUCCUGAUGUUCAGGUGGAAUCUCCUUUCCUGUAGUUUGAAACCAUUGUUCCAUGUCCUAGUCUUCAGGGCAGCAGAAAACAAGCUUGCUCCCUCCUCCCUAUGACUUCCCCUCACAUAUUUAUACAUGGCUAUCAUGUCUCCUCCCAGCCUUCUCUUCUGCAGGCUAAACAUGCCCAGCUCUUUAAGCCGCUCCUCAUAGGGCUUGUUCUCCAGACCCUUAAUCAUUUUGGUCGCCCUCCUCUGGACGCUUUCCAGCUUGUCAACAUCUCCCUUCAACUGCGGUGCCCAGAAUUGGACACAGUAUGACCAAGGCAGAAUAGAGGGGUAGCAUGACUUCCCUGGAUCUAACGGUGGCCAGGAUUCAUUUGUACAUGAACUAAAUACACCAGCUGAAUCCAUUCACAUAGAUGUCUGAUCUGGUAUUACAUCCUAUUUGGAUUACAGUGAAACACUUUUACAUGGCACUACCUUUGGAAAACAUUCAGAAAGUUGAAUGAGUCCAAAAUGCUCCCUUGUUAAAGGAGUUCUGCUGACUGAGGGUCCAUUUCUAAGCAUGAUUCAAAGUGCUGGUUAUUACCUAUACAUUGCUGUGUGGCUUGGGUCUGGACUAUCUGAAAUUCUGAAAGCCUGACUGAAUUUUGGGAUCUAGAUUUUUCCCAAUCCCAUCAUCAUCGCAGCUAUAUUUUAUAGAACUACAUUUUAAUGUGUGUUUGUAGAAUUUUUGCAAUGUUUGUGUGUUUUGACUGCUCUGUGACCUGCCUCAGGCCACAAGGAGAGACAGGUAAGAAAUAAAAUUAUAUUAUUACAGGUGCCAUUGUGAAUAAAUGUUUGAAAGCUUUCUCGGUGGCUGCUCCCAAGCAGUGGCAUACUUUCCCAUGGAAGGCAUGGUUUAUUCAUGGUUCUCUCUCAUCCCAAAUUCAUUCAUUCAUAGUAUGUUUUUAUUGAUUCUUGACCCAUUAGGGCCCCGUCAAACAUGUUCCUAUCUUGAAUGCACACGAGAAGGAAAUAGCUGCAUGAAUUUUGGAAAGCCACAUUUUUGCCCACCCACCAAAUAAAGCCAAAUGUCUGAAAUUUUAAAAGUCACAAGAAAAAGUAUAUUUCAAGAAUGAGUGGAUGUCAGACUUGCAGGAAUGAUUUUUUAAAAAAUUAUCUGAGGCCCCUUCUACACAGCUGAAUAAAAUCCCACAUGAUCUGCUUUGAACUGGAAUAUAUGUCAGUGUGGACUCAGAUAACUCAGUUCAAAGCAGAUAUUGUGGGAUUUUCUGCCUUGAUAUUCUGGGUUACAUGGCUAUGUGGAAGGGCCCCCAGAUUGUGGGAAGAAAGCAGGAUAGUAGUUGGAUGUCCCUAUUCGGUAGAGUAGCAACCGAGGGCAGCUUCAAAACAUAAAUUCUGAGCAAGCUGAAGGUUUGAAGGUAUGAAAUUCACUAUACUCUCACUACUUAGGAACAUUGGCCAGUUUCUGAUAGAAUAGUGUCGUUAGAAGCACUGGGUUUUUUUAGCUGGAAUUCUCAAAGUCAUCAACCAGAACCUGGCAUUUUAUACUACAGUUAAACAAACUUGACACAUGAAAGUAUUUCUCAGAGCCUGUGUUGGUUAGAGUCUAUAGUCUUUAAAAAUUCAAGUUCUGCUUCAUAAGCUUGCUUCAUUUUGGUAGUAUAGUUUAGGAUGAAUAAGGAGUUAUUUUCUGCUUUAAUUCUUAUACAACUGGGAGUCAGAAAUCCCUGCUGAUCUGCUGCAAAUCCCCGAGAGGCCUUUCAGUAGAUUCAACAACAUGAAGUACUUAAACUCAACUGAAUUAGAAAUUUAUUUUUAGUGUAAUAAGAUUGACUUACAUUGCAAUUUCAGCAUUACAUUAACUCCAAAAUUAAGUUAUUAAGUAAUUAAAUCAGUCACAGUGCUAAACAGUCAACAUAUAUUAUAUUUCCCGGGUGGUUCUUUGCACCAAUACUAGCUCUUUUAGAAUUUUUUGAAAAACUUGUUUCUUGCUUUUGGUUAACCUGUACAAGUAGGGGAUUUACAUUUACACACAAGUAGUUUUAGUAGACUGAAUUGUGUUAACAGUUUUUGAUGUUAGCAAUCUCAGUGGUCAAUCUCACCACCUGCACACUGUUUCUAACUACAAUACAGUACAGCUGGCUCUCUGUACCCAUAGAUUCUUCAUCCAUGAAUCCAAACCCAGUAGAUAUCAAGGGUCCAAUGUAGCUGUAUAACUGAAAUCACACAUUACAGAUUUUUAUAUUUAUAAAAUCUGGAAGACUUCUGAAAGUUGUAACACCACUUGCUAUCUAUGCACAUUUCCACACAGCCAUAUAACCCAGAAUAUCAAGGCAAAAAUCCCACAAUAUUUGCUUUGAACUGGGUUAUCAGAGCCCACACUAUCAUAUAUUCCAGUUCAAAGCAGAAAAUGUAGGAUUUUACUCAGCUGUGUCAAAGGGGCCUAUGUAAAGUAAAGAUAAAAAAACAAGCAAAUAAUAAAAUCAUGGACUGCAUUUUUCAGUUUCAGUCUGUUAAGGCUUUUAUUGCAUCCUUUUACAUUAAACUUAAAUGCAUUUAACAUAACAGUUAACUCACCCUUUUAAUAUAAAUUUAAUGAAACUAGGAUUUUUUUCAAGAAUAGACAAUGUGCUAAAUGCAUUCAUCUAGAUAUCUCUGCUACCUCUAUGUUACUGCAAAUAUUUGAAUAUAAAAUGACAUAUGAGAAUUAUUUAUCUAUAUUGUAAACUUGGUUUUAUAGACUAUUGUUAUAUGUAUGUUGACUUGUAUUAUAUUUUAAAAUGUUGUGAGCUGCUUUGGGUCUCAUUUAGGGAGAAAAGCAGGAUAUAAAUAAAGAUUUACUACUACUACUACUAUUAUAGUCCCUUUCACCACAAUUUAGUCUGUCUGCAUUUCUUUCACAAGGCUGCCUGAAAAAAGGAAAAUCACGCAGAACAAACUCUAGAAGAGAAAUAAAGGCUUUAGACAGGAUUCAUCAAACAGCUUCAUUAAAUUGGGUGAAUCUCUGUGGGAAGACUGAGACCACCCUCUGUUUUUGUUGUAAUGUGCCUUGACUAAAGUCAGAAGGUAAUUGAAGCUCUGGGCAAGAAAAAUACUGAGCAUGGAAAUUGUAGUCAAACAAGUCACCAAUUUUGUGCAUCUAUCAAUCUUCCAGCUGGCUGAUUUGUCAGUAUUUUGGAGCUUAAUGUACUUCCUUGAUUGUAAAGGCAGCUCAGUUUUCUCUCAGACAUGGAAUGAAGGAACCUAAUGACAUGGCUAUGAUUUUUGCUAUGAUUAAGUAGGAUCUAAUUCUGGUCAGUGCUCAAAUAGAAAUCCGUAUGACAUCACCACGUGUAUGAUCUCGAUUUGCUCCUGUCCCCCUCCCCCUGACCUUUUUCCAUGACAUUUCUACACUGCCAGAGGAGCCUAAUUUUAAGGACUUUUUGGGGGUGGCUCUUGCUUUUCUGGGCUCAUGGAGCCCAAAAAACUGAGAGCGCUGUGGGGACUGACUCCUGGGUAAUCCUAGGACUACCUGGAAGAAUUCCCACAGGCCCCAUACCCCAUUAGCCCCUGGCUUUUCAGGAACUGGGUAUUUAAUUAAUUUGGGACAAAGCAGAGAUGCCUCAGAUAAAAGCCCAACACGCCCUGCAUUUUGGGACCUGUCUGGAUGGGCCCACAGUCUCUUCAGUCAGGAUCCUCAAUACUGUUAGAUCCCAGCCAGCCAGGGCACCAAGGCCUGCAGCAUUUCAGGACUUGCACUUUGACACAGAUAAUGCUUAUACUGACAUUUCACCCUCCACGGAGGGGCCUUUGCAGCUGCAGGUGCCCGAAGAUAUUGGCUCUGGAGACUCACUAAUUGGGGAAGAUUCUUCAUUUCCUCCCUCGCAGAUAGAGCCAGAUGUGGCUGAAUCAGCUGGGAACGGGGUUUUUAAUCGUAGAGAUUUUGUAACCAGGGACAGAAGUGCAAAACAAGGGGUUCGCCGGAGCCAGAGACUGGCAAAUAGAUGGGAUAAUGGUUAGUGUUCUCAUGGGAAAGUUUUGGGAGUUUUUACUCCCUAAAUUCUGAACAGUCCAGAAUCUGUUAAAAGUGUUUUGCUCAGUAGAUUUUCUUGCGGUGUCAACGUUGCUUUCUUGGAGAGAGGUUUCUCCGUCUCCAGUUCCUGUUUCCAAGCCAAAUUUUCCAGUUCCAAUCGGGCCGUGCUGUGCUGCGACUCUCGAGUAGACCUUGACUUUACUUCAGUUGUUUCUUGUUCUUAAUUCAAGUUUGCCUCAGCUUGGACAACCUUGCUGCCUUGAUUGCUACGAAGUAUUUCCAGUGGAUUGAACUCUGUUUUCUGCCAGCCUUGUUUCUCUGUUUCAACUCAUGGACACUUUGAUUUCCUCGGAGAGCUAUCGAGUUCUCAUUGUGGAUUAUAAUAUCGGACCUUUUCAGUCAACCAUUUGGAACCACCAUAAACUUUCUAAAAAGAACUAUUCCUUACUCAGACUCUAUACCAAAUUUCCUUUGGAUAUAUAAUUGCUUUAAUAAAGAUAUAGUGUGUUA